rnacentral:tRNA from 1 species
UCCCAGGUGGCCAGUGGUAAAGAGUCCAUCUGCCUGCCAAGCAGGAGAUGCAAGUUCAAUCCUUGGCUUGGGAA